CCUGACCCAGCAACGCCGCGUGAAGGAAGAAGGCCUUCGGGUUGUAAACUUCUUUUAAGAGGGACGAAGAAGUGACGGUACCUCUUGAAUAAGCCACGGCUAACUACGUGCCAGCAGCCGCGGUAAUACGUAGGUGGCGAGCGUUAUCCGGAAUUAUUGGGCGUAAAGAGGGAGCAGGCGGCACUAAGGGUCUGUGGUGAAAGAUCGAAGCUUAACUUCGGUAAGCCAUGGAAACCGUAGAGCUAGAGUGUGUGAGAGGAUCGUGGAAUUCCAUGUGUAGCGGUGAAAUGCGUAGAUAUAUGGAGGAACACCAGUGGCGAAGGCGACGAUCUGGCGCAUAACUGACGCUCAGUCCCGAAAGCGUGGGGAGCAAAUAGGAUUAGAUACCCUAGUAGUCCACGCCGUAAACGAUGAGUACUAAGUGUUGGGGUUUCCCAGUGCUGAAGCUAACGUAUUAAGUACUCCGCCUGAGUAGUACGGUCGCAAGGCUGAAACUCAAAGGAAUUGACGGGCACCCGCACAAGCGGUGGAGCAUGCUGUUUAAUUCGAAGAUACGCGAAGAACCUUACCUAGACUUGACAUCCCUGGCAAAGCUAUAGAAAUAUAGUGGAGGUUACCCAGGUGACAGGUGGUGCAUGGUUGUCGUCAGCUCGUGUCGUGAGAUGUUCGGUUAAGUCCGCUAACGAGCGCAACCCUUAUCCUUAGUUGCUAACAUUUAGUUGAGAACCCUAAGGAGACUGCCGGUGACAAACCGGAGGAAGGUGGGGAUGACGUCAAAUCAUCAUGCCCCUUACGUCUAGGGCUACAGGCGUGCUAUAAUGGCUGGUACAAUGAGACGCAAUACUGUGAAGUGGAGCAAAUCUAUAAAGCCAGUCUCAGUUCGGAUUGAAGUCUGCAACUCGACUUCAUGAAGCUAGAAUCGCUAGUAAUCCCAAAUCAGAAUGUUGGGGUGAAUACGUUCCCGGGUGUUGUACACACCGCCCGUCAUGCCAUGAAAGUUUGUAAUACCCGAAUGUGGUAGCCUAACCUUUUUAGGAGGGGGCCAUUUAAGGUAGGACAAGUGAUUGGGGUAAAGUCGUAACAAGGUAUCCCUACGAGAACGUGGGGAUG
rnacentral:rRNA from 1 species